GGAUGCUAAUACUGCAAGUCGAGCGGAUUAUUCCUUCGGGGAUAGCUUAGCGGCGGACGGGUGAGUAACACGUAGGCAACCUGCCCACAAGACCGGGAUAACAUUCGGAAACGAAUGCUAAGACCGGAUACGCAAGCCUGGGGCAUCCCGGGCUUGGGAAACACGGCGCAAGCUGUGGCUUGUGGAUGGGCCUGCGGCGCAUUAGCUAGUUGGCGGGGUAACGGCCCACCAAGGCGACGAUGCGUAGCCGACCUGAGAGGGUGAACGGCCACACUGGGACUGAGACACGGCCCAGACUCCUACGGGAGGCAGCAGUAGGGAAUCUUCCACAAUGGGCGAAAGCCUGAUGGAGCAACGCCGCGUGAGUGAGGAAGGCUUUCGGGUCGUAAAGCUCUGUUGCCAGGGAAGAAUAAGGGCCAGUUAACUGCUGGUCCGAUGACGGUACCUGAGAAGAAAGCCCCGGCUAACUACGUGCCAGCAGCCGCGGUAAUACGUAGGGGGCAAGCGUUGUCCGGAAUUAUUGGGCGUAAAGCGCGCGCAGGAUCGAAUUCCCGCGGCC
rnacentral:rRNA from 1 species